AUUGAACGCUGGCGGCAUGCCUUACACAUGCAAGUCGAACGGCAGCACGGGAGCAAUCCUGGUGGCGAGUGGCGAACGGGUGAGUAAUAUAUCGGAACGUGCCCGGUCGUGGGGGAUAACGUAGCGAAAGCUACGCUAAUACCGCAUACGAUCUACGGAUGAAAGCGGGGGAUCGCAAGACCUCGCGCGAUUGGAGCGGCCGAUAUCAGAUUAGGUAGUUGGUGGGGUAAAGGCUCACCAAGCCGACGAUCUGUAGCUGGUCUGAGAGGACGACCAGCCACACUGGGACUGAGACACGGCCCAGACUCCUACGGGAGGCAGCAGUGGGGAAUUUUGGACAAUGGGCGCAAGCCUGAUCCAGCAAUGCCGCGUGCAGGAUGAAGGCCUUCGGGUUG
rnacentral:rRNA from 1 species